rnacentral:rRNA from 1 species
CGUAGGGUGCGAGCGUUAAUCGGAAUUACUGGGCGUAAAGCGUGCGCAGGCGGUUUUGUAAGACAGAUGUGAAAUCCCCGGGCUCAACCUGGGAACUGCCUUUGUGACUGCAUAGCUAGAGUACGGCAGAGGGGGAUGGAAUUCCGCGUGUAGCAGUGAAAUGCGUAGAUAUGCGGAGGAACACCGAUGGCGAAGGCAAUCCCCUGGGCCUGUACUGACGCUCAUGCACGAAAGCGUGGGGAGCAAACAGGAUUAGAUACCCUGGUAGUCCACGCCCUAAACGAUGUCAACUGGUUGUUGGGUCUUCACUGACUCAGUAACGAAGCUAACGCGUGAAGUUGACCGCCCGGGGAGUACGGCCGCAAGGUUA